rnacentral:ncRNA from 1 species
GAUCCCAUUGCCGGAGGGAUCAACGGACACAUGCAGCCGUCGCGCUGCAGCCGAGUUCAGCGGCCGUGUCCACCGUUGCCCGCCAGGGCAGGAGUCUUUUGGCUCCAAAACGGUUUCGUACUGACC